rnacentral:rRNA from 1 species
GACGAAGGAUGCAAGCGUUAUCCGGAUUCAUUGGGUUUAAAGGGAGCGUAGGCGGAUUGGUAAGUCAGUGGUGAAAUCUGUGGGCUUAACCCACAAACUGCCAUUGAUACUGCUGAUCUAGAGUACAGUUGCCGUUGGCGGAAUAUGACAUGUAGUGGUGAAAUACUUAGAUAUGUCAUAGAACACCGAUUGCGAAGGCAGCUAACGAAGCUGUAACUGACGCUGAGGCUCGAAAAGUGCGGGGAUCAAACAGG